UCCUUUUUUUUCCAAUACUAUCCAGUUUUCGCAUUCUUCCUAACUUGGUAUCAAAGCUUUCUUAUCCGGGCUCUCAUGGCAUAAGGAAGCACCUCCUCUACAGCAACCACUGUAGCAUAUGGAUCAAUGAGUGCACUUAGUCCAUCAAACAUGGGCAACAUUGCACACCUUCUUCCCAUCAAGUUGAGCGGGAACAACUUUAAUCUAUGGAAGGCUCAGUUCAUGCCAAUUUUCAGACUUCAUCAACUAUUGGGAUAUAUUGAUGGUACGAAUCCCUGCCCUUCUCAAUAUGUUAGGAGCUCUGUCCCUGGAACUGAUACUAAAGACACAAUGAGUGUCAAUCUUGCAUAUAUUACUUGGCAACAAAAUGAUCAAAUGAUAUUAAUUUGGAUCAUUGCCUCUCUCACUGAAUCCACUAUGGCACAUGUUGUUAGCUAUUCUACAUCCUAUGAUGCAUCGCAGAAACUUACCCGAACAUAUUCCUCGUCCUCUCGUGUGAGAGUUCAACAACUGAGACUUCAAUUAGCAAAUCUCAAGAGAGGAUCUACUAGUUGUACUUAGUACCUUGAGAAUGUGCGUAUCAUUGCUGAUAAUCUUGUAGCAAUAGACAAACUAAAGUCUGAUGAAGAUCUCAUUUUGGCCGCUCUAGGAGGCCUUGGCCCUAAGUAUGGACCAUUUGUUACAUCUGUCACUACAAGAGCAACUCCUCUUUCCUUUAAUGACUUUUGUGGUAUGCUUCUUAGUCAAGAAUAUCGUUUGAAUGAUCUUUAACCUCACAACUCAGAUCUUCAAAUACCAUCAGUUAAUGCAGAUACGAAGUCCUAUCAAGGUUCACACUGUGGUCACAACAACAAUUAUAAGGGAAAACAACAGAACACCCACUACAAAUAGCAAGGCAAAGGCCAAUAUCCACAUCAACACAAUGGUCAGAAUCAUGGUAGUGGCAAAGGCUACAAAGGGAAUGGUCAGUACUCAAAUUAUAAUCAUGGAGGUGGACCACAGUAUCCAUGCAUCUACAGUCAACUCUGUAAUCAGUCGGGACACAAGGCUCUGCAUUGCCCACAACAUUUCAACCAUGCACUCAUAGACAUAUCCAAUUUGUCCCUUCACUUUGAAUAUCAAGGUCCAGAACAAAUUUCAAUUGGUAAUGAAACAGGAUCGAGAGACGGGGAAGGAACUAGUUCAAGGCCCGAAUAAGAAUGGCUUGUACUAGCUCAUAGUAGAUCGUGUUCUCUCUACAAAUAAAUCUCAUUUGUCAACAAUGACUAGUGAAUGUACCACUUACACUCAAUGGCAUCAUCGGUUUGGACAUCCCUCCAUGAACGUUUUGAAGCGUAUUCUCAACCAACAUGGUUUACCUUGCAUAAAUAAAUUGGACAAAUCUCUAUGUGUUGCAUGUCAAACCAGCAUAAGUCAUCGCCUUUCUCUUCAAUCUAGUUCUACUAAGAGUAUUGCACCACUACAUUUGAUCUUUUCAGAUGUUUGGGGGCUAGCACCUGU